rnacentral:rRNA from 1 species
UGUUGCAUAUUCCCAAAAAGCGGAGGAAAAGAAACCAACAGGGAUUGCCUUAGUAACGGCGAGUGAAGCGGCAAAAGCUCAAAUUUGAAAUCGGCCACCAGGUCGAGUUGUAAUUUGUAGAUUGUAUCUUGAGAGCGGAUUAAAGUCUGUUGGAACACAGCGCCUUAGAGGGUGACAGCCCCGUAAAAUCUAUUCUCAUUGUAAGAUACUUUCGAAGAGUCGAGUUGUUUGGGAAUGCAGCUCUAAGUGGGAGGUAAAUUCCUUCUAAAGCUAAAUAUUGACGAGAGACCGAUAGCGAACAAGUACUGUGAAGGAAAGAUGAAAAGCACUUUGAAAAGAGAGUGAAAAAGUACGUGAAAUUGUUAAAAGGGAAGGGUAUUGAAUCAGACUUGGUGCUGUUGUUCAACUGUGUUUCGGCAUAGUGUACUCAGCAGUACUAGGCCAAGGUGGGGUGUUUGGGAGUGAAAAAGAAGUUGGAACGUAACUCUUCGGAGUGUUAUAGCCUACUUUCAUAGCUCCUCAGGCGCCUCAGGACUGCGCUCGGCAAGAUCAUGCAU